CUCCCCCUCCUUUAGAUGAGGAGGGGGAGAAGUAAAGCAAAGAACAACUCACGGGUUGAGAUAAGGAUAAUUUAAUUAAAUGGAAAUAACUAUAAUAAUUAAAUAAAGACUACCAUGAACUAAACAAUUUAACUAAGGGGAAAUAAAAAGGGAAAGGGGAAAAGGGAGGGGAAAAGGGAAAAUAAAAAGAAAAAAAAAAAAAAAAAAUAGUUGCAGAAAUGACUAUGCCUUAAGCAGAAAGAAAAAAAAAAAAAAAAGUUGGUCAUCUCUCACAUCAACAGUGUUGUCAGUGUUGUAUGUAGUACUGAAUAGUGAACACGAGCAUGUAAAUGAAUUUUCUUUAAAUAUAAUUCAUUUUGAUAUCAUAAUUUUUAUUAUUAUCUUAGUUGAAGUUUGUGAUGCUGUAAACAGGUCAGCAAAAACAUGGCUAUUAAGAAUAGAAUUUUGUUACACUAAGAACAAAAUACAAGAGCUUUACUUUAGAAAGCAAAAUGUCAAUAUGAGAGUGAACGUUUAUCAUUCAUAAGCACUUUGAAUGGAGAAAAUCCAAUAUUAAUAAUAAUAAUUUUAAAAUAUAUAUAUGCUAAAUAACAAAUAACUAUACAUUGCUAGACAAAGAAAAUUAAAAGAUUUAUUGCCAUCAGACUAAUAAGGUACAGAAUAUCAUUCAACUGAGAGGUAGUAAACAAUGAAUGGAAAAAUAGUAGAAGUGAACUACUUUUGAUACUGUGAAUAACUUGAGGGAGGACUGUAAUGACUAGGCAGGAAUUCACUUUCAAUCAUGUCUUCUCAUGACUGUAAUAUAGUUGUUUAUUGCAACUUAUUCCUUAUUGUUUAUAAUUGCAUCACUUAUUAGUAUUUGUGAAGGCAGUGGAGGAGAAUGUUUGCUACUUAAAUGUCUGAUGAAGUGUAUGGAAACUAUUUGGUUUGUGGAGCUUGAAGGCAGCGUAUCUGCUGUUGCAGCUUCUUCUAGCUUCUCUUCUGUGAAUUAGCCAGGUUUGUGAGCCAACCUUGAGUCUCUCUGCAAGCAUGCAGCCAAAUUAAAGGGUUUUCCAUAAUGGUAACAGAUCCUGGUUAUAUGCUCUAGCACAAAUCCAUAUAUUAUAAAAUUCUUUCGAGUAUGAAAACCUCAGCAGAGGUUUAGAAUGCAAAGAAUUUUCACUGCAUUUUGUGCUACUGAAAAAUGGAGCUUUUUUUUUUUCAUCUAAAUGAGCCAAAAAUCUGAAAAACUAAAUCUGACAGGUCUGAUAACACAACAUGCCAAGUCUGAAACACUACUAACUGGCUGAAUACUACUUUUGAGCCAUAGAGGGUUGAGAAAACCUUUACAAGAAGAUGUUCUUGAAAUUCCUUUUUUUCUUCCAGUGCAUUCUAAUAUCUGAAUUCUCUCCUAUGGGAUCUUGUCUGUUAGAAUAUAAUGGAAGGAAAACAUAGAACCUCUCUGGAGGUAGUUAACAAAGAUAUACAAAAAGUCAAUGACUGCAGAGAGCACACUCACAUCAGAAAGAAUUGUUUCCUUGUUUCAU
rnacentral:lncRNA from 1 species